UGAGACUCUGUGCGCGUGCAUAUCAAUAAGCGGAGGAAAAGAAACUAACAAGGAUUCCCCUAGUAACGGCGAGUGAAGCGGGAAGAGCUCAAAUUUGAAAUCUUAAAGGGUUUCCCUUUACGAAUUGUAGUUUAAAGAAGUGUCUUCUGUUGGAGUUUCGGUAAAAGUUCUUUGGAAUAGGACAUCAUAGAGGGUGAGAAUCCCGUAUUUGACCGUUACUUUCCAGCUGUGUGAUACACUUUCAAAGAGUCGGAUUGUUUGGGAAUGCAGUCCAAGAUGGGUGGUAAAUCUCAUCUAAAGCUAAAUAUUGGCGAGAGACCGAUAGCGAACAAGUACCGUGAGGGAAAGAUGAAAAGAACUUUGAAAAGAGAGUUAAACAGUACGUGAAAUUGUCAAAAGGGAAGCGUUUGACACCAGUGUUGUUUAGUUGAAAAUCAAUUCAAUAGUUUUUGAUUCUAAGUAGUAUUGACUUCAUCAGCUUGCUGCUUUCUUCUCAGAAAUUAUUGAAUGCACUUCUCAGUUAACAAGUCAACAUCAAUUUCUUUUGUUGUAAAAGGGUAAGAGGAAGGUGGCUUACGCUUCGGCGUCAAGUGUUUAUAGCCUUUUAUCCUCUGCAAUCGGAGAGAUUGAGGUACAUGCAGCGUAGACUCCUUCGGGGUUAGAUACACUUGUGCUAAGCUAUAGCCUUGUAUAGACAACUUGUUGACUAUGCUCAGUCAUGUAGCUUACUCGCCUGAUGCUAUUUUACCUACGCUUAGGAUGUUGAAGAUGUAGCACAUCAU
rnacentral:rRNA from 1 species